rnacentral:rRNA from 1 species
UACGUAGGGUGCGAGCGUUGUCCGGAAUUAUUGGGCGUAAAGAGCUCGUAGGCGGUCUGUCGCGUCGAUCGUGAAAACUUGGGGCUUAACCCUGAGCUUGCGGUCGAUACGGGCAUGACUGGAGUUCGGCAGGGGAGACUGGAAUUCCUGGUGUAGCGGUGAAAUGCGUAGAUAUCGAGAGGAACACCAGUGGCGAAGGCGAGUCCCUGGACAACACCUGACACUGAGGCACGAAAGCUAGGGGAGCAAACAGG